rnacentral:rRNA from 1 species
UACGUAGGGGGCUAGCGUUGUCCGGAAUCAUUGGGCGUAAAGCGCGUGUAGGCGGUCCGGUAAGUCCGCUGUGAAAGUCGGGGGCUCAACCCUCGGAUGCCGGUGGAUACUGUCGGGCUUGAGGUACGGAAGAGGCGAGUGGAAUUCCUGGUGUAGCGGUGAAAUGCGCAGAUAUCAGGAGGAACACCAAUUGCGAAGGCAGCUCGCUGGGACGUUACUGACGCUGAGACGCGAAAGCGUGGGGAGCAA